AUCUUCUCAAGGGCAACACUUCUACUAAACUCGGAAUAACACAGCAAAGAUUAGCAUGGCCUCUGUGUAAGGAUGACACACAGAUUCCUGAAGCAUUCCAUAUUCUU